GGCCCGUUCGCCAAGUGGCAAGGCAUGAGUCUGCAAAACUCUCACCAUCGGUUCGAUUCCGAUACGGGCCU
rnacentral:tRNA from 1 species